AAAAAUGAGAUGUUUUGGAUAUCAUUUGUCUUGGAAAAACAAGAAUGUGUGAUCUUUUAUUAAUAGGUACAAUCCCUUUAUGUAAGUAACCUGAUAAAAGGGUGAUUUUAUGCUCUGCUAAAAAUGAGUGGGAUGGCUUCCUAACAUACAUCCCUUGGUGCUCUUUCAAGCACUGCAUGGAGCAUAUUUGCUGCUACUUUACAACAAAUAGCAUCUUACUUAUAUGAAAGAAUUGCUCUAGCUUCCUGCAGAAAUGCUAUUUAUGUCCACUGUGCAUUUCAUCUAUUUCAGAGCCUGCUGGCUCACACAGUCAGUCCCAGUAUGGAUAUGGACUACCGGAGUCACCAUGACAGCCGACUUGGUUCUUUCUUACCAUUUCUUGAUGUCACAGUACAUGGAUUCCUUCAAGACCAAUAGUCUUACAUUUCCAGGUGUCUUUGUCCAUGUGUAGGAAUGCUAGCAAAUCUCUACUUGGUUCCAGAA
rnacentral:lncRNA from 1 species